UUCCAGACUCCUACGGGAGGCAGCAGUGGGGAAUAUUGCACAAUGGGGGAAACCCUGAUGCAGCGACGCCGCGUGAGCGAUGAAGUAUUUCGGUAUGUAAAGCUCUAUCAGCAGGGAAGAAGAUGACGGUACCUGACUAAGAAGCCCCGGCCAACUACGUGCCAGCAGCCGCGGUAAUACGUAGGGGGCAAGCGUUAUCCGGAUUUACUGGGUGUAAAGGGAGCGUAGACGGCGAUGCAAGCCAGAUGUGAAAGCCCGGGGCUCAACCCCGGGACUGCAUUUGGAACUGUGUGGCUGGAGUGUCGGAGAGGCAGGCGGAAUUCCUAGUGUAGCGGUGAAAUGCGUAGAUAUUAGGAGGAACACCAGUGGCGAAGGCGGCUUACUGGACUGUAACUGACGUUGAGGCUCGAAAGCGUGGGGAGCAAACAGGAUUAGAUACCCUGGUA
rnacentral:rRNA from 1 species